AUUGAACGCUGGCGGCAGGCUUAACACAUGCAAGUCGAGCGGGGGAAGGUAGCUUGCUACCGGACCUAGCGGCGGACGGGUGAGUAAUGCUUAGGAAUCUGCCUAUUAGUGGGGGACAACAUCUCGAAAGGGAUGCUAAUACCGCAUACGUCCUACGGGAGAAAGCAGGGGAUCUUCGGACCUUGCGCUAAUAGAUGGGCCUAAGUCGGAUUAGCUAGUUGGUGGGGUAAAGGCCUACCAAGGCGACGAUCUGUAGCGGGGCUGAGAGGAUGAUCCGCCACACGGGGACUGAGACACGGCCCGGACUCCUACGGGAGGCAGCAGUGGGGAAUAUUGGACAAUGGGGGGAACCCUGAUCCAGCCAUGCCGCGUGUGUGAAGAAGGCCUUAUGGUUGUAAAGCACUUUAAGCGAGGAGGAGGCUACUUUAGUUAAUACCUAGAGAUAGUGGACGUUACUCGCAGAAUAAGCACCGGCUAACUCUGUGCCAGCCGCCGCCGUAA
rnacentral:rRNA from 1 species